AUGUACAUCCCUACAACAUAGCAUUAAUGCACCAGAUCCCAUUAGAAUUCCAUAGUUAAGCGUGCUCCGACUAGAGUAUUACUAAGGGUGAUCUCCGAGGAAUUCCUAAUGUUUUACAGG
rnacentral:rRNA from 1 species